rnacentral:rRNA from 1 species
GACGAACGCUGGCGGCGUGCCUAAUACAUGCAAGCUGAGCGCUGAAGGUUGGUACUUGUACCGACUGGAUGAGCAGCGAACGGGUGAGUAACGCGUGGGGAAUCUGCCUUUGAGCGGGGGACAACAUUUGGAAACGAAUGCUAAUACCGCAUAAAAACUUUAAACACAAGUUUUAAGUUUGAAAGAUGCAAUUGCAUCACUCAAAGAUGAUCCCGCGUUGUAUUAGCUAGUUGGUGAGGUAAAGGCUCACCAAGGCGAUGAUACAUAGCCGACCUGAGAGGGUGAUCGGCCACAUUGGGACUGAGACACGGCCCAAACUCCUACGGGAGGCAGCAGUAGGGAAUCUUCGGCAAUGGACGAAAGUCUGACCGAGCAACGCCGCGUGAGUGAAGAAGGUUUUCGGAUCGUAAAACUCUGUUGGUAGAGAAGAACGUUGGUGAGAGUGGAAAGCUCAUCAAGUGACGGUAACUACCCAGAAAGGGACGGCUAACUACGUG